rnacentral:pre_miRNA from 1 species
UGGCUGCUUGGCUUCCUGGCAUGCUGAUUUGUGACUUCAGAUUAAAACGACAUUGCCAGGGAUUACCACGCAACC